rnacentral:rRNA from 1 species
GGGAGUACGGUCGCAAGAUUAAAACUCAAAGGAAUAGACGGGGACCCGCACAAGCGGUGGAGCAUGUGGUUUAAUUCGACUAUACGCGAAGAACCUUACCUGGCCUUGACAUAGAAAGAAUUUAGCAGAGAUGUAAAAGUGCUAGUUUACUAGAGCUUUCAUACAGGUGCUGCACGGCUGUCGUCAGCUCGUGUCGUGAGAUGUUAGGUUAAGUCCUGCAACGAGCGCAACCCUCGUGUUUAGUUACUAACAGAUUAUGCUGAGGACUCUAGACAUACUGCCUGGGCAACCAGGAGGAAGGUGAGGACGACGUCAAGUCAUCAUGGCCCUUACGGCCAGGGCUACACACGUGCUACAAUGGGGUAUACAAAGAGCAGCGAUACCGCGAGGUGGAGCAAAUCUCAUAAAAUAUCUCCCAGUUCGGAUUACACCCUGCAACUCGAGUGUAUGAAGUUGGAAUCGCUAGUAAUCGUAGAUCAGCGAUGCUACGGUGAAUACGUUCCCGGGUCUUGUACUCACCGCCCGUCAGACCAUGG